rnacentral:rRNA from 1 species
AUGAAUGGGGAGCUGAUGAACCCGGCGUCUCGACAGAUAUACCUCAUCUUCCCGGCGGACAGCACCUUCCACGAGGAUGACAUCUCCAACUACUUCAGCAUCUGCGGUCCUGUCCACGAUGUGCGCAUCCCCUACCAGCAGAACCACAUGUUUGGGUUCGUCACCUUCGUCUACAAGGAGAAGGGCAAGGUCCGCAGCAAGUUCAGGAAGCAUAAGGGCGAGAGGGUGGACUUCUCUAGCUGCGGGUCUCCCAACUAUUGUAUCUACUUGAUUGCCUUCUGUUAUCCAGAUCGAAAUUGUCCUAAGAAUGAGGCAACACUCGGAGGUGGCACCUACACAUGA